CCUUACCUACCAAUAUGGCUAGCUUUACUCUGGCCCUCAGCAAACAGAAAAGUGGGACGCAAAACUGAGCCCCGCGGGCUACAGAAGGCUGCGCUUACCUUUUCUGACUCUGGGAUGGGAGGAAGACACCCCGGGCUACGUGGAGGUGAAUUCCCCAGCAGGUAGCUCGGAGUAACAGCUUAGCGAGCGGCGGAGCAGGCUGGCCCUGACAACAUGCAUGUGCUCUGAAACCGCCACUUACUAUCAGGCAACUUAAGAAAAGAGGAGGAGCCUGUACUGGGGAAAGGGGGAGUGGGAAAAUGAAAACAGCAGGAGGAGGGGGGAGCCCGAGCUCCCCGGAAUAUUGAUUAAUCUUGGCACCACAGAAGCACGCUUUAUGGCUUUGUUUUGCUCCGUAGACCACGUUCACGCCUUGUUAGUUCACUUAUAUUAGAAACGCAAAAUCAGGACCUGAGAGAAUCGAAAACUAAAGCGCUCACACACAUGGACGCUGGAAGUCCGGAUUAGAACGUCUGGGAGACUUCUCCAAGGCCACGUUUAAUUACCUCAUUUCAGGUUGCCUCCCCUUCAGGGGACGUCAGAGGGUGUUCUUUUGCCUGCUCACACAACUGUUGUAGCACCCCACCCCUUUAGCAUUGGGGACAUAACUGAAAUUUCUUGGAAGGAUCCUGAAUACAAUUAAGUAUAGAGAGGAGAAUGCUUACUGCCGCCCUCUCAACUUGUAUAAAGUUACUCAAAACACAAGGUGAGACAUGCCCCCCUGUUUUACAGUUUAAAACUCCAAUAUAAGGAAUCUGAUUGGGCUCUGGCUGCCUGCUCUGCGGACAGAAAAAGCCCAGCAGAGCAGGAAAGUGUGGUCUUAUCCUCAAGGAAGGGCAUGAGCUGGGAGGUCACCCACAUUAUUACCUUCACAUCAGUUGUCACACCUAAUAGCAAAGGUGACUGGAAAUACAGUCUUUCUUCUGAGCAGCCACAUGCACAGCAAACGUGGGAGUGAAAAAGGAGGCACGGUGAUGGAGUGCGUGGGU
rnacentral:lncRNA from 1 species